GAUGAACGCUAGCUACAGGCUUAACACAUGCAAGUCGAGGGGAAACGAUAUUGGAAGCUUGCUUCCGAUAGGCGUCGACCGGCGCACGGGUGAGUAACGCGUAUCCAACCUGCCCAUCACUUGGGGAUAACCUUGCGAAAGUAAGACUAAUACCCAAUGACGUCUCUAGAAGACAUCUGAAAGAGAUUAAAGAUUUAUCGGUGAUGGAUGGGGAUGCGUCUGAUUAGCUUGUUGGCGGGUAACGGCCCACCAAGGCGACGAUCAGUAGGGGUUCUGAGAGGAAGGUCCCCCCACAUUGGAACUGAGACACGGUCCAAAACUCCUACGGGAGGCAGCAGUGAGGAAUAUUGGUCAAUGGACGAGAGUCUGAACCAGCCAAGUAGCGUGCAGGAAGAACGGGCCCUAUGGGUUGUAAACUGCUUUUAUAAGGAAUAAGGUGGAGUCGUGACUCUUUUUGCUAUGUACCUUAUGAAUAAGGACCGGCUAAUUCCGUGCCAGCAGCCGACGG
rnacentral:rRNA from 1 species